UAAACAACACCCAGCACUAAUUUAACUCC
rnacentral:sRNA from 1 species